rnacentral:misc_RNA from 1 species
GUUCUUGAAACUGGUUCACAAGGAGACCAUUCUGGUUGGGCAUUCCUUGGAAAAUGAUUUGUUAUCCCUAAAGAUAAAUCAUAAAUUGGUAAUUGAUACCGCUGUGUUGUAUAAGCAUCCAAGAGGAUCCUACAAAGCUGCUCUUCGCGUUCUGAGCAGAAAAUUUCUCGGCAGGGAGAUACAGGACUCAGACAAUGGCCAUGAUAGCGUUGAAGAUGCUAAAGCUACUUUGGAACUAGCACUACUAAA